rnacentral:rRNA from 1 species
AAAAUAAAAUUUGAUUUUAAAAAAAUUUAUUUUUUAAACUAGGAUUAGAUACCCUAUUAUUUUAAGCUUAAUGUUGGUAGUAAGUAAAAAUUAUGAAAUCAUAAAAUUUUGGCGGUAUUUUAAGCUUGUUAGAGGAAUUUGCUCUAUAAUGGAUACAACGCCUAUAUCUUACUUAAUUUUGUAAUUAAAGUCAGUUUGUAUACCACUAUAUUUAAUUAUAUUGAAUAAUUAUAUUUAAGAUUUUUAUACAAAUAUAUAUUAAGUCAAGGUGCAACAAAUAAUUA